AUGGGAGAGUUAGAUGUGCCUCCACAUCUACUUAUAUAUAUAUUUUGUUGGGGGUUUAUGCAUUCUCCCAACCCCCUCAAAACAAAACAGCUGUGUCCAGAGGCCAGCAGGAGUAAUAGCUUUCCUCCUUUUCUAGUCUAUUUUUUUUAAUGUUGCACCGGAGAGUAUUGUAAGCCACAUGUGGCUUGUAGACCACAGUCCCUGCUCUAAAGCAAGAGCGAAAUGAGCGAAACAAGUACAGUCAAGUGCUAAAUGCAGUACCUACGGUACUUUGAUCCUGCUAUCAAGUGACUUACUUGCCUACUUAGUCUGGAGCCUGAAUGCUGCUGAUGGGCAAUGUUCAGACCCCUACAGAUUAUUUUUUUUGUCUGUGGUUCUUUACCUUCAAAGCCAGCUUGGGAGGGGACAGUUCUUCAGACAGAGGACUAUGUUCUGUAAAAUAGGACACUAUUUGCCCACUCUACUUAUACCCCUUUGUGAAGAAAAAUACCUUUUCUGCUUGCAUAGUGCAUUCAAAAUCAAAUCCAUGUGAAAGAGGAAUAAAUCAAAAUACAAUCUAUUAUGCCUUUUGUAUGGCAUGUAGUCAAAAUAUCAAUGUCUGGCACAAUGGGAUCUCACACAACUGCCCUUUUCUUGCUCCUGGCUAGCAUUCUGUUGUCCUCUCAGUUAUUUUCCAUUCAAACACUUUUGUUUUUUGAAAGUGAUGAGAAUUAAGGCCACUGAUGCAGAAAGAAAUGUCCACUGAGACACACCCUCUGCCUGAGAAAAGCAAAGAAUUCUGGAUUUAAACGCACAUGUGCCUACAGUUGCCCAUCUUCAGGCUCAAAAUGCUAAGUUAUAUGGGAGCUCCACCCAUUGAAAAUAUUUGCCAGGUAAUUCCCUUGGGAAGGGCCUUGUUAGCACCAGUAUAAAAACAACUGCAGAAUGUUUAGAAAACAGCUAUUGACUUCCUCUACAUAAGGACUGAAGCUAUUGGGGGCAACCAUGUCUACUAAGGAUGUUAAAACCUUUGCUCAACAAGCACAGGGCACUGUGCAAGAUGCGGCAAACAGCUUGGGAAAGGCUGCACAGCAAGGUGUGAACCAAGUGACAGACGCGGGUCAGAAAGUGGUGGAUCAGACGUGCAAAGUAGUGAAAGAGGGCAUUGAUAAAGCAACUGAACAAGCAGGGAACACAGUAUCCGGUCUUGAGAAGAAACUUGGACUGAAGAAAUGAUGGCUAUUUAAAACACCAGAACCAUUCUUCAAUCUAUGUGUUCCUUUUUUUGUACCUAUCAUAUGUAUCUUUGUAGAAAAUGUGGGAGAUGUUCUCCUUCCAUUUCUGUUUUGAUCACAUGCAUUCCAAAGAGAAAAGCAAAAUGAUUGUACAGCAGCCUUCAGAAGGAGCUCUCCUCUCAUGAUCUGGAUGACCAAAUUGUGUAUUAACAGCUGCAUUAUUUGGGGAGGGGGGCUUGACCAGUUGCAGCUGGGGGUGGGCAGUAGCUUUCUGCAUACUCCAGUCUUUUAUAUAAUGCUAAUGGUAAUAACAAAUGUCUAAACCCACCCCAAACAAUAUUUUUAUCUUCUUUCCCAUUCUCUCCUCAUCUUGCACAUACAAAUGACACACUGAAGUACUGUAAAAGGAUUAAACAAGGAGGGGACAGUAACGAUAUCCAAAAUUCACUAUUAGGUCCCUCACUAAAGUGCAAAUUAUGCCAUGACUUAAGUACUUGGUGAUCAUUACAGUGGUUCUAUGCAAGACCAGCCUGUGCUAUGCCAUGUCUGCUCAUGAUUAAAGCUCAAAACUUUAGACGUUUUGUUGUUUGAACAGUUUUAUUUUGCUGAUUAUCCAAAGACUAGUGUUGAAUCUGCAGCACUGUUAUGUCACAUACAUAUGCUAUGGGAGUGUUUCCAGUCUGGAUCAUUACAAAGCUGCAGAGGUUGUUAAGAAAGGUGCAAGACACUGGAUUGUUCAUCCUCUGUCUGCCAAACAGGCUCAGCCAACAGAAGAACCACCACAACAGCCAUAAUGCACAAAUGUUAAUGCCAGAAUACUAUCGAGGCUAUCUUAGCUUAUACAUCUUUCCUUGCUGUUGAUUUGAGUUUGGCAAAAUAAAAGAUAUAAAUAAAAAUCUGGAUUAUACA
rnacentral:lncRNA from 1 species